rnacentral:rRNA from 1 species
GCAAUAAAGCUAGCUUAAAUACCAAAAAAUAUAUACCAACAUUAAUAAGCUUUUUAUGACUAGAUCUAACAAACUAAAACAUUUUUCCGCCCUAGUAUGUGAGACAGAAAAGGAACCUCAAAGCAAUAAACUUAGUACCGCAAGGGAAAGCUGAAAAAGAAAUGAAAUAAACCAUUAAAGCCCAAUAAAGCAGAGACUAAAUCUCGUACCUUUUGCAUCAUGAUUUAGCCAGUUAACCUGAGCAAAGCGCUCUUUAGUUCAAUAACCCGAAACUGAGUGAGCUACCCCAAGACAGCCUAAUUAAAGGGCCAACCCGUCUCUGUGGCAAAAGAGUGGGAAGAUCUUUGGGUAGGGGUGACAGACCUACCGAACUCAGUUAUAGCUGGUCGCCUAAAAAAUGGAUAAAAGUUCAGCCUCGUGCCCCUCAACUCACUAAGGUUAAUCUAAAUAUGAUCAAGAGAGACACACGAGAGUUAUUCAAAGGGGGUACAGCCCCUUUGAAAAAGGAAACAACCUCACCAGGAGGUUAAAGAUUAUAAUCAUCAAGAUUCUGUUCAGUGGGCCUAAAAGCAGCCACCUGCACAGAAAGCGUUAAAGCUCGAACAGAAAACAAUCUAUUAUAUCAAUAUAUUAUCCAAAACCCCUAAUCCUAUUAGGCCUUUCUAUGCCCACAUAGAAGCGAUACUGCUAAAAUGAGUAAUUAGAAGAUAACAUCUUCUCCUGAACCCAAGUGUAAGCUAGAUCGGACCACCCACUAGCCCAUUAACGAACCCAAAACAAGAGAGAAACAUGGUUUAAAUAAAGUACAAGAAAACCCCAUAUAAAUUUAAUCGUUAACCCCACACUGGAGGGCCACAAGGAAAGACUAAAAGAAAAGGAAGGAACUCGGCAAGCACAAGCCUCGUCUGUUUACCAAAAACAUAGCCUCCCGCAAAAUCCCAAUAUAUAGGAGGUCCCACCUGCCCGGUGAUAACUUAAACGGCCGCGGUAUUUUGACCGUGCAAAGGUAGCGCAAUCACUUGUCUUUUAAAUGAAGACCCGUAUGAAUGGUUAAACGAGGGCUUAACUGUCUCCCUUCUCCAGUCAAUGAAAUUGAUCUACCCGUGCAGAAGCGGGUAUAAACUUACAAGACGAGAAGACCCUUUGGAGCUUAAGACAAAAGAUCACUUAUGUUAAGUAAAAAAAAUAAAACUAAAUAAUCCUUGAUCAUAGUCUUCGGUUGGGGCGACCGCGGGAUAAAAUAAAACUCCCGCAAGGACUGAAGAAACCCUUUAAAACCAAGAAAGACAUUUCUAAGUCACAGAAUUUCUGACCACAAAGAUCCGGCCACGCCGAUCAACGAACCAAGUUACCCUAGGGAUAACAGCGCAAUCCCCUUUUAGAGUCCUAUCGACAAGGGGGUUUACGACCUCGAUGUUGGAUCAGGACAUCCUAAUGGUGCAGCCGCUAUUAAGGGUUCGUUUGUUCAACGAUUAAAGUCCUACGUGAUCUGAGUUCAGACCGGAGUAAUCCAGGUCAGUUUCUAUCUGUAAUGCUAUUUUUUCUAGUACGAAAGGACCGAAAAAAUUGGGCCCAUACUUAUAGCACGCCCGACUCCCACUUAAUGAAGACAACUAAAUUAAGUAAAAAGAGCAUAACUGGUAAUUGAGAUAACAUUACUAAGG